AGAGCUUGGAAUCCGUCUCUUCUCUAAUGCGUUCUCCACCUCGGGAGCCCCUGGUGAUUCCGUGACGGCCUCUGUUGCCCUGUGAUCUGCAGGUCCGGAGAGACGCACAGCUAAGAUGUCAGGACAUCCUGGAAGCUGGGAAAGGGUCUUGCCAUCUCUAAGCUGGACCUGGUGACCUUUCUGGAGGGAAAGAAAGAGCCCUGGACUGUGAAGAGUGAGGAGGCCAUAGCUGCACAGCCAGUCCAGAUGUAUAAUCUCAUCCCUGAACAUUUCUGAUGGUGUGAUUAUGACAUGUGACUUUAUCCGGCAACAGAGUGAGUUGAUGCUCCCGCCUGAGCCCAGCCCACAGAAAGGAUUGUGACAUAUCGUUGGACCCAGAAUUGAGACAGAGUUUCGCUCUUGUUGCCCAGGCUGGAGUGCAAUACCACGAUCUUGGCUCAGCUGGGAUUACAGGUGCGGUUUUGGCACACUUCUGCCCAGCAGCUGAGUAUUGUGAUUCUUCAGAAUUGGCCCAGCCUACAAAUAGGAUUGUGCCACACUGCUGGACCCAGCACCUAGAUGAUGUAACUAUUCUCCUGCCUUGGUGCUACUCAAAAAAGACAUUAACAUAUCUCAGAGCCUUGCAUCCAGAAGGCAUUGAGACAUACGGCUGGGCUCAGCACUAAGAAGAUGUGAGUCCUCUGCCUGAAGCCUGACCACAGGGAGCACUGUGACAUAUUUCUUGACCCAUUACAAUCUCUCCUAUGGGCAAAACUGAGGUGGAAUUGUGACAUAUAACUUGGCCAAGCACACAGAUGUAAUGGUGUGGUGACUCUCAUACCUAGAACUGGGACCUGUGCGGGAUUGUUAAUUCAUUACUGGACAUUCCUGUGGGUGUGAUUGUUACAUAUGCCUAUGUUCAGCACCCGAGUGAUUUGAUUUUGCUGCCUGGUCUCAGUCCAAAGGCUCUGCAUAUUUGGGUAUUGUGACAUAUUGCAGAACUCAACACCUAAGGGAUGGGAGUCUCCUACCUAGGCCCUUCCUACAGGGGGCAUUGUGACAUGUCUCUGCAUUCCUCAUCCAGGAGAUAUGACUCUCCUUUUCUGCCUACACCCUGCCUACACAGAAAGUUGUGGCAUAUUGCUGUGGUCAGCGACCAGAUGAUAUGUUUCUCCUGCCUGGGUCUUUAUUACAGGAAAGAUGGUUGACAUAUUACUGGGCCCAGCAUCCAGAUGAUGUGACUCUCUUCUUCUGUUGGUCCCUGCUUACAGGGAAACUGUAGCAUAUUGCUACACCCAGCACCUAGCUUGUGUGAUUCUUCUUUUAGGUUUGCCUUCAGGGAACAUUGUG
rnacentral:lncRNA from 1 species